rnacentral:rRNA from 1 species
UAAUACGUAGGGGGCAAGCGUUGUCCGGAUUUAUUGGGCGUAAAGAGCGUGUAGGCGGUUUUACAGGUCCGCUGUGAAAACUCGAGGCUCAACCUCGAGCUGUCGGUGGAAACCGUAAGGCUAGAGUCCGGAAGAGGAGAGUGGAAUUCCCGGUGUAGCGGUGAAAUGCGCAGAUAUCGGGAAGAACACCCGUGGCGAAGGCGGCUCUCUGGGACGGUACUGACGCUGAGACGCGAAAGCGUGGGGAGCGAACAGGAUUAGAUACCCUGGUAGUCCACGCCGUAAACGAUGGGUGCUAGGUGUGGGAGGUGUCGACUCCUUCCGUGCCGAAGCUAACGCAUUAAGCACCCCGCCUGGGGAGUACGGCCGCAAGGCUA